GAUGAACGCUAGCUACAGGCUUAACACAUGCAAGUCGCGGGGCAGCAUUUUCCUAGCUUGCUAGGGAAGAUGGCGACCGGCGCACGGGUGAGUAACGCGUAUCCAACCUUCCCAUGUCCACGGGAUAGCCCGUCGAAAGGCGGAUUAAUACCGUAUGAGGUCACAUGCGGGCAUCUAAAUGUGACGAAAGGUUUUGCGGACAUGGAUGGGGAUGCGUCCGAUUAGCUUGACGGCGGGGUAACGGCCCACCGUGGCGACGAUCGGUAGGGGUUCUGAGAGGAAGGUCCCCCACAUUGGAACUGAGACACGGUCCAAACUCCUACGGGAGGCAGCAGUGAGGAAUAUUGGUCAAUGGGCGAGAGCCUGAACCAGCCAAGUAGCGUGCAGGAUGACGGCCCUAUGGGUGUAAACUGCUUUUAUAAGGGAAUAAAGUGAGUCUCGUGAGACUUUUUGCUAUGUACCUUAUGAAUAAGGACCGGCUAAUUCCGUGCCAGCA
rnacentral:rRNA from 1 species